UACGUAGGGGGCAAGCGUUGUCCGGAUUUAUUGGGCGUAAAGAGCGUGUAGGCGGCUUGGUAGGUCCGCUGUGAAAACUCGAGGCUCAACCUCGAGAUGGUCGGCGAAACCGCUUGGCUAGAGUCCGGAAGAGGAGAGUGGAAUUCCCGGUGUAGCGGUGAAAUGCGCAGAUAUCGGGAAGAACACCGGUGGCGAAGGCGGCAUCCUGGACCAAUACUGACACUGAGGAGCGAAAGCCAGGGGAGCAAACGGG
rnacentral:rRNA from 1 species